rnacentral:tRNA from 1 species
UUAAUUAAAGCCAAAUUAGAGGCUUACUAUUGUUAAUAGUAGAACUGGCUUGGUAAAGCCUGAUUGUC